rnacentral:rRNA from 1 species
GAUGAACGCUGGCGGCGUGCUUAACACAUGCAAGUCGAACGGUGAAGCAGAGCUUGCUCUGUGGAUCAGUGGCGAACGGGUGAGUAACACGUGAGCAACCUGCCCCUGACUCUGGGAUAAGCGAUGGAAACGGCGUCUAAUACUGGAUAUGAGCUGCGACCGCAUGGUCAGCAGUUGGAAAGAUUUUUCGGUCUGGGAUGGGCUCACGGCCUAUCGGCUUGUUGGUGAGGUAAUGGCUCACCAAGGCGUCGACGGGUAGCCGGCCUGAGAGGGUGACCGGCCACACUGGGACUGAGACACGGCCCAGACUCCUACGGGAGGCAGCAGUGGGGAAUAUUGCACAAUGGGCGAAAGCCUGAUGCAGCAACGCCGCGUGAGGGAUGACGGCCUUCGGGUUGUAAACCUCUUUUAGCAGGGAAGAAGCGAGAGUGACGGUACCUGCAGAAAAAGCGCCGGCUAACUACGUG